rnacentral:rRNA from 1 species
UACGUAGGUGACCAGCGUUGUCCGGAUUUACUGGGCGUAAAGAGCGCGCAGGCGGUCGUUCAAGUCGAGUGUGAAAGCCCCCGGCUCAACUGGGGAGGGUCACUCGAUACUGAUCGACUUGAAGGCAGGAGAGGGAAGCCGGAAUUCCCGGUGUAGUGGUGAAAUGCGUAGAUAUUGGGAGGAACACCAGUGGCGAAGGCGGCUACCUGGACCGGUUCUGACGCUGAUGCGCGAAAGCGUGGGGAGCAAACAGG